rnacentral:piRNA from 1 species
UACAGAUGGCAACCACAAUCAUGGACAUUGG